rnacentral:rRNA from 1 species
AGAACGAACGCUGGCGGCAUGCCUAAUACAUGCAAGUCGAACGAACUCUUCGGAGUUAGUGGCGCACGGGUGCGUAACGCGUGGGAAUCUGCCCUUGGGUUCGGAAUAACAGUUGGAAACGACUGCUAAUACCGGAUGAUGACGAAAGUCCAAAGACUUAUCGCCCAGGGAUGAGCCCGCGUAGGAUUAGCUAGUUGGUGAGGUAAAGGCUCACCAAGGCGACGAUCCUUAGCUGGUCUGAGAGGAUGAUCAGCCACACUGGGACUGAGACACGGCCCAG